UGCAGCUGUGUCAAAUUCGGUCUCCACCUUUUUCCAUGGUGGGAUUGCCCCAAACAGUUGCCACAGUAGCCACUGUAGCUCAUGGGCCUCAGAGCCCUUGGUGGACUCUGAGGAUAGUUUUGUUACAGACACUU